rnacentral:rRNA from 1 species
UACGUAGGGUGCAAGCGUUGUCCGGAAUUAUUGGGCGUAAAGAGCUCGUAGGCGGUUUGUCGCGUCUGCUGUGAAAUCUGGGGGCUCAACCCCCAGCCUGCAGUGGGUACGGGCAGACUAGAGUGCGGUAGGGGAGAUUGGAAUUCCUGGUGUAGCGGUGGAAUGCGCAGAUAUCUGGAGGAACACCGGUGGCGAAGGCGGCAUCCUGGACCGGUAUUGACGCUGAGGAGCGAAAGCCAGGGGAGCAAACGGG